GACGAACGCUGGCGGCGUGCUUAACACAUGCAAGUCGAACGGAAAGGCCCCUUUGGGGGUACUCGAGUGGCGAACGGGUGAGUAACACGUGCGUAACCUGCCCUUGACUUCGGGAUAACUUCACGAAACUGGGGCUAAUUCCGGAUAGGAAUCCUUGAUGCAUGGUGGGGGUUGGAAAGCUUCGGCGGUUUUGGAUGGACUUGCGGCCUAUCAGCUUGUUGGUGGGGUAGUGGUUUACCGAGGCUUUGACGGGUAGCCGGCCUGAGAGGGCGACCGGCAACAGUGGGACUGAGAUUCGGCCAAGACUCCGACGGGAGGCAGCAGUGGGGAAUAUUGAACAAUGGGCGGGAGCCUGAUGCAGCAACGCCGCGGGCGGGAGGACGGUCUUCGGGUUGUAAACCGCUUUCAGCAGGGGCGAAGCUUGUGGUGACGGUACCUGCAGAAGAAGCACCGGCUAACUACGUG
rnacentral:rRNA from 1 species